CAUACAUGGAGAGAGUUUAUACAAUGUUAGAUGAAGAGUUGGCGGUGCCACGGUGCCAAGAAUUGCCUGAGAUGGUUAGUGAUAGUGAAAGUUAUGAUGACAGAUAAUUACUCCUCCAAGAAGAAGAAUCAGAAGAGCUGGCUAUUUGUGGGCCUUUUUCGUCAGUGGUAAGUUG